UGAGGAAUAUUGGUCAAUGGGCGGGAGCCUGAACCAGCCAAGCCGCGUGAGGGAAGAAGGUACAGCGUAUCGUAAACCUCUUUUGUCAGGGAACAAAGGCGGGGACUAGUCCCCGGAUGAGGGUACCUGAAGAAAAAGCAUCGGCUAACUCCGUGCCCC
rnacentral:rRNA from 1 species